rnacentral:misc_RNA from 1 species
UCCGGCUUAACGCCGGCAGUCUCCUAUGAGUCCCCACCAUAACGUGCUGGCAACAUAGGACGAGGGUUGCGCUCGUUGCGGGACUUAACCCAACAUCUCACGACACGAGCUGACGACAGCCAUGCACCACCUGUAUAGGACCCUUACGGACCCCCCAUCUCUGGAGGAUUUCCCUAUAUGUCAAACCCAGGUAAGGUUCUUCGCGUUGCAUCGAAUUAAACCACAUCAUCCUCCGCUUGUGCGGGCCCCCGUCAAUUCCUUUGAGUUUCACCGUUGCCGGCGUACUCCCCAGGUGGAUUACUUAUCGCUUUCGCUUGGUCGCUGACGGUCAUAUUGCCAACAACGAGUAAUCAUCGUUUACGGUGCGGACUAC